GAUGAACGCUGGCGGCGUGCCUAAUACAUGCAAGUCGAGCGAACGGACGAGAAGCUUGCUUCUCUGAUGUUAGCGGCGGACGGGUGAGUAACACGUGGAUAACCUACCUAUAAGACUGGGAUAACUUCGGCAAACCGGAGCUAAUACCGGAUAAUAUUUUGAACCGCAUGGUUCAAAAGUGAAAGACGGUCUUGCUGUCACUUAUAGAUGGAUCCGCGCUGCAUUAGCUAGUUGGUAAGGUAACGGCUUACCAAGGCAACGAUGCAUAGCCGACCUGAGAGGGUGAUCGGCCACACUGGAACUGAGACACGGUCCAGACUCCUACGGGAGGCAGCAGUAGGGAAUCUUCCGCAAUGGGCGAAAGCCUGACGGAGCAACGCCGCGUGAGUGAUGAAGGUCUUCGGAUCGUAAAACUCUGUUAUUAGGGAAGAACAUAUGUGUAAGUAACUGUGCACAUCUUGACGGUACCUAAUCAGGAAGCCACGGCUAACUACGUG
rnacentral:rRNA from 1 species